GACGAACGCUGGCGGCGUGCCUAAUACAUGCAAGUAGAACGCUGAAGGAGGAGCUUGCUUCUCUGGAUGAGUUGCGAACGGGUGAGUAACGCGUAGGUAACCUGCCUGGUAGCGGGGGAUAACUAUUGGAAACGAUAGCUAAUACCGCAUAAUAGUAGAUGUUGCAUGACAUUUGCUUAAAAGGUGCAAUUGCAUCACUACCAGAUGGACCUGCGUUGUAUUAGCUAGUUGGUGGGGUAACGGCUCACCAAGGCGACGAUACAUAGCCGACCUGAGAGGGUGAUCGGCCACACUGGGACUGAGACACGGCCCAGACUCCUACGGGAGGCAGCAGUAGGGAAUCUUCGGCAAUGGACGGAAGUCUGACCGAGCAACGCCGCGUGAGUGCAGAAGGUUUUCGGAUCGUAAAGCUCUGUUGUAAGAGAAGAACGAGUGUGAGAGUGGAAAGUUCACACUGUGACGGUAGCUUACCAGAAAGGGACGGCUAACUACGUG
rnacentral:rRNA from 1 species